rnacentral:lncRNA from 1 species
ACUACUUGGCAUAGAACAAAUCAGCUCUUUAUUACAAAUGACAGAAAUACAAGGUUCCGAUAUCACAAUGAAUUACAUCGGCAUGGCAACACUAUGCCUUCUUAGGUAGCUCUAUGCUUAUAGAAAAACAAAUCAAAGCAACGGAAUAACUUCUAGCAAGGGAACAACGACGACACUGGUGAAAUCAACUCUACAAGGACUCUGGCUGGAAUGCUUAUCCUUGAUCACCAACUCGUCAGGCAAUCAAUCAUGGCAUGACCUGCAAACUGGCAUGACACACGAGGUGAGUACUUUGAAUCUACUCACGAGCUCACAACGACCAACGCAAUCAAGACCAACAACAAUAUGGCAUUUACAAGUUGAAGAUUAAUGACGAGCAUGAUACACCUAGAGCAACACGGCAUAUACAUGGUGAAAAAAAAUACCGCUAGAACAACAUCUGAUGAGCAUGGCAUGAACAUGUUACUCAAGCCAUGAACAAAGAUGAUACUAGCAUGCACCAUGGUUAAACUUAUAUAUCAACUUACUCUGAUCGGGGUUAUCUCGUAACCACCACAUGUAUCCAAAAUAUUAACUAACCUCGGUAUCCAUGAUACUACUUUAAUCUUCUGAUGAUCAAAUAAAGAUCAACCAACUUCUUUCUCAUCAAACAAGGGUUGUUUAUUAAGUAUAUUAUUAUUAUUGUUAACUCAUAGUGUGACCUACUACAAACUGGGCCCAUAUCCGUGGGUGUGGCUAUUGAUAGAUUAUACAUACUCUGUAGAGGUUGGUACACUGUACCUACACCACAAAACCCAAGGCCUCACGCACCUAUUUGGGUGGACUAGCGGCAUUCCGAGAGAACCAAUAUAUUGCAUGACACUCCCCCGGCCACUUCGACAAACUCCCAUUUGGGCUAAGUCAUGGGUGGCUCCGAUGCCACUCUAGACAUCCAAUGGCCAUCAUCGUGGCAAAACAGAAAUGGUACCAAACGGGUACAAUGGUACCAUAGAAAAACAACGGGCCUUGGACGCCUACCUCAUCAGGGUAGCGCGCACAUAACCUUCCCUAGUUGGAGGAACCAAUGAGAGGCAUGCCAAUCGACUGCAUUAAGGCCUUCCCAUACAGGCAAGUGUGGAUGCACUGGUCAGCUCGACUCGAUGGCACUAUGACUCAGCCAACAUUUGUUCAUGUUCAGUUAAUAUCCGGUUGAACUUGUAAAGUAAUGAGCUAAGUCAUAAUAAAAAUAACAGGAUGAAUAGACAAUUCAUAUGAGCAUGACAUAAGAAUGAACAUGUAUGUGAAGUAUAACAAUUUCACAUGUGAAGCAUUAGCAUCGACAAUAAUAACGAACUUAGUCUAGUGGAUGCACAUGAACAUGAUAGAGUAAUGAUCAUGCAGAUCACAAGUGCUUUUCAUAACUGGCGAUAUUCGUGCAUCGAAGGAACACUACUAUCACGAGCAUGUAAUAAGAACAAGCAUGAGAUAUGAUAAUAAUACUACCAAGUAGCCACGGAACUAACAGGGUGCACAAGCACAAAGCAUGAAGAUGAUCGAUUCCACAAGCAUACAGAAAUACUAGUAGAGCAAACAGUUGUUAAAUAUUGAAGUAGAAAACAAUGGUUACUACAAGAUCACAAUACAAGUGGAUGCCGUGGCUUGCCCGGGGAUAAAGGAUUCAC